AUCCUAUAGCUCUCCUGUAACUGUUCUGAGACCAGUGCAGACAGACAGCACACUUGAGGUUAAGUCAUUCACUACAUAGGGAGCAAGGGAGCAUCCUAUAGCUCUCCUGUAACUGUUCUGAGACCAGUGCAGACAGACAGCACACUUGAGGUUAAGUCAUUCACUACAUAGGGAGCAAGGGAGCAUCCUAUAGCUCUCCUGUAACUGUUCUGAGACCAGUGCAGACAGACAGCACACUUGAGGUUAAGUCAUUCACUACAUAGGGAGCAAGGGAGCAUCCUAUAGCUCUCCUGUAACUGUUCUGAGACCAGUGCAGACAGACAGCACACUUGAGGUUAAGUCAUUCACUACAUAGGGAGCAAGGGAGCAUCCUAUAGCUCUCCUGUAACUGUUCUGAGACCAGUGCAGACAGACAGCACACUUGAGGUUAAGUCAUUCACUACAUAGGGAGCAAGGGAGCAUCCUAUAGCUCUCCUGUAACUGUUCUGAGACCAGUGCAGACAGACAGCACACUUGAGGUUAAGUCAUUCACUACAUAGGGAGCAAGGGAGCAUCCUAUAGCUCUCCUGUAACUGUUCUGAGACCAGUGCAGACAGACAGCACACUUGAGGUUAAGUCAUUCACUACAUA